CUGCUGCCUUCCGUAGGAGUCUGGGCCGUAUCUCAGUCCCAAUGUGGCCGUUCAACCUCUCAGUCCGGCUACUGAUCGUCGCCUUGGUAGGCCGUUACCCCACCAACUAGCUAAUCAGCCGCAAGCUCAUCUAUCAGCGAAUUGCUUCUUUCCCACUAUCAUCAUGCGAUGACUAUGGCAUAUGCGGUAUUAGCAGUGAUUUCUCACUGUUAUUCCCCUCUGAUAGG
rnacentral:rRNA from 1 species